rnacentral:rRNA from 1 species
AACGAACGCUGGCGGCGCGUCUUAAGCAUGCAAGUCGAACGGCAAGAUUGGUGCUUGCACCGAUCCUAGAGUGGCGGGCUGGUGAGUAACGCGUGGGUGACGUACCCUAAGGAUGGGGAUAGCUGGUAGAAAUAUCAGAUAAUACCGAAUAUCCUUAUUGUUGUUAGAGGACAGUAAGGAAAGGAGCUUUGGCUUCGCCUAAGGAUCGGCCCGCGUACUAUUAGCUAGUUGGUGAGGUAACGGCCAACCAAGGCGACGAUAGUUAUCCGGCCUAAGAGGGUGAACGGACACAUUGGGACUGGGAUACGGCCCAGACUCCUACGGGAGGCAGCAGCUAAGAAUAUUCCGCAAUGGAGGAAACUCUGACGGAGCGACGCCGCGUGGAUGAUGAAGGCCGGAAGGUUGUAAAAUCCUUUUAAGCAAGAAGAAUAAACUUUACAGGGAAUGGUAGAGUGGUGACGGUAUUGCUUGAAUAAGCAACGGCUAAUUACGUGCCAGCCGCCGCCGUAACAC